rnacentral:lncRNA from 1 species
CAUAUUUAUAAUUGAUCAUACUUUAAUACUUCCUCCAUCAUCAUGAUAUUGUGAUUUAAAAAGAACCUUGCUGUACUCCAUCUUACUUUGUGUUUGCAUAUUAGUCAAUCUUCCCUUUACAGUUUAUUUUACACAAAUUUGUAAAACGAAUAGUUCUUUUCACAUAACUGUAUAACUGACACGACAUAUAGUGUAUUGUUAUUAUUUUUUU